UACGUAGGGGGCUAGCGUUAUCUGGAAUUACUGGGCGUAAAGGGUGCGUAGGUGGUUUCUUAAGUCAGAGGUGAAAGGCUACGGCUCAACCGUAGUAAACCUUUGAAACUGGGAAACUUGAGUGCAGGAGAGGAGAGUGGAAUUCCUAGUGUAGCGGUGAAAUGCGUAGAUAUUAGGAGGAACACCAGUUGCGAAGGCGGCUCUCUGGACUGUAACUGACACUGAGGCACGAAAGCGUGGGGAGCAAACAGGAUUAGAUACCCGGGUAGUCCCUGAGCGGG
rnacentral:rRNA from 1 species